CCUACGGGUGGCAGCAGUGGGGAAUAUUGCACAAUGGGGGGAACCCUGAUGCAGCGACUCCGCGUGAGUGAAGAAGUAUUUCGGUAUGUAAAGCUCUAUCAGCAGGGAAGAAAAUGACGGUACCUGACUAAGAAGCCCCGGCUAACUACAUGCCAGCAGCCGCGGUACUACGUAGGGGGCAAGCGUUAUCCGGAUUUACUGGGUGUAAAGGGAGCGCAGACGGCUGUGCAAGUCUGGAGUGAAAGGCGGGGGUCCAACCCCCGGACUGCUCUGGAAAUUGUAAAGCUGGAGUGCAGGAGAGGUAAGCGGAAUUCCUAGUGUAGCGGUGAAAGGCGUAGCUAUUAGGAGGAACACCAGUGGCGAAGGCGGCUUACUGGACUGCAACUGACGUUGAGGCUCGAAAGCGUGGGGAGCAAACAGGAUUAGAUACCCGGGUAGUC
rnacentral:rRNA from 1 species